CUAAGCUGAGGACAAUGUUAAGAAAUAAGCAUAUAUUGCAAUGAGCCUAACAUAGCCAUAUACAGGAUAUAUGAGUGUGUUUAGUAGUAAGAAUGUCUUAAUUAAAAAAAAGUAAUAACAAUGUUUUCUUGUAUAUUUCUAGGUUAGACAGUUAGGGAUUGUACACAGCCUACUGCUCCCUAUUAAUAUUAUGUCUAACACGACAGAUUUCUACAGAUCAGGAAUGACCAUACUACUUACGAUAUAAUAACGUAUAGCUGACUCUAAGGCUAAUCAUAGGCAGAAAAAUAAUCUACUUAUUAAUUAGCAGCUAUUGACUAACGAACUGAUUCUAACAUUAGUAAUAAAAAUUCAGAAGAUAUAACAAUAUACAAGUAACAACUAACCUCCCAAUCAUGUAGUCAUUCCCCGGGUAAAUCAAGCUCUGCAACAUAAAUCAUGGAAGUACCAGGUUCCUGCAUGUUAGGGAAAAUCCAUCCUGCGGGAGAUAUGGAAAAGUAUUCCACGCUAAGAAAAUAAUGACGUUGUUCCAAUAGGCUUCCAAACGCAAUAGCAUCUUGAUCCCCACACCACCUCACCUGAAACACCAUCAACAACACGACACCAGCGCCCAAGUAAACAAGAACUUAUUCACAAUAUUUCAUAAUAAAAAACAAAAGCAAACAACCAAGAAAAACAGAAACAGUAAGGCAACAGUUUGCAAUAGAAAGAAACUAGAAACAUUAUUAGGAUCGUAAAUUGUGAUAUCAUUU
rnacentral:lncRNA from 1 species